rnacentral:rRNA from 1 species
UUUUUGUAAUUAAUAUAAAGUCUAAUCUGCCCACUGAUAAAUUAUUAAAGGGCUGCCGUAUUUUGACUGUACAAAGGUAGCAUAAUCGUUUGUCUCUUAAUUGGUGACUUGUAUGAAAGAUUGGAUGAAAUAUAAACUGUCUCAUUAUAAUAAGUAAAAUUUAAUUUUUUAGUAAAAAAGCUAAAAUAAUUUUAAAAGACGAGAAGACCCUAUAGAGUUUAAUAAUUAUUUUUAUAUAAAAUAAAAUAUAAAAAUUUAAAUUUAAAUGAAAAUAAUUAUUUUGUUGGGGUGAUAGAAAAAUUAAAUUAACUUUUUUUAAUAGAUAUACAUUAAUAAGUGAUUAAAUGAUCCAUUAAUAAUGAUUAUAAGAAAAAAUUACCUUAGGGAUAACAGCGUAAUUUUUUUUUUUAGGCCAAAUAAGAAAAAGAGUUUGCGACCCCGAUGUUGGAUUAAGAUAAAAUUUAAAUGUAAAAGUUUAAAGUUUUGAUCUGUUCGAUCAUUAAAA